rnacentral:ncRNA from 1 species
UAUAACUAUUAUUACGAUUGGUAGAAUGAGAGGGUAACGCCUUAAAAUGCCAUCCCAAAGAUACGAAUAGCGUAAAUAUGAGUAAACAUAUUUAGGUUAUAAGCUCGUUGCGAUGCCUUAGAAAUCACCCUAACGUUAAGCCGAGGAAAACCGAACCAGAGGUGGUCGAGUGAUAUAGGGCUAGGGUCUAUAAA